rnacentral:rRNA from 1 species
GAAUUCACUAGUGAUUCAGGCCUAACACAUGCACAGUCGAGCGGUAGAGAGAAGCUUGCUUCUCUUGAGAGCGGCGGACGGGUGAGUAAUGCCUAGGAAUCUGCCUGGUAGUGGGGGAUAACGUUCGGAAACGGACGCUAAUACCGCAUACGUCCUACGGGAGAAAGCAGGGGACCUUCGGGCCUUGCGCUAUCAGAUGAGCCUAGGUCGGAUUAGCUAGUUGGUGAGGUAAAGGCUCACCAAGGCUACGAUCCGUAACUGGUCUGAGAGGAUGAUCAGUCACACUGGAACUGAGACACGGUCCAGACUCCUACGGGAGGCAGCAGUGGGGAAUAUUGGACAAUGGGCGAAAGCCUGAUCCAGCCAAGGCGCGUGUGUGAAGAAGGUCUUCGGA